rnacentral:rRNA from 1 species
CCCUUAGAUGUUCUGGGCCGCACGCGCGCUACACUGACGAAGUCAGCGAGCAUGUCCUACGCCGACAGGUGCGGGGAAUCUUGUCAAACUUCGUCGUGAUGGGGAUUGAUUAUUGAAAUUCUUGAUCAUCAACGAGGAAUUCUUAGUAAGCGCAAGUCAGCAGCUUGCGUUGAUUACGUCCCUGCCCUUUGUACACACCGCCCGUCGCUACUACCGAUUGAAUGGUUUAGUGAGAUCUUCGGAUUGGCGCCACUGCGGCUCAGCAAUGGGCUCGGUGGAUGCCGAAAAGUUGAUCAAACUUGAUCAUUUAGAGGAAGUAAAAGUCGUAACA